GUAGUCAUAUGCUUGUCUCAAAGAUUAAGCCAUGCAUGUCUAAGUACAUACCUGCCUAAGGUGAAACCGCGAAUGGCUCAUUAAAUCAGUUACGGUUCCUUCUAUAUUAAAAAUCUACAUGGAUAACUGUGGUAAUUCUAGAGCUAAUACAUGCACAAAAGAUUCAACUCUCGGGAAGAAUCGCAUUUAUUAGACCAAGAUCAAUGGGUGMWUCGGCAUCCUUUCUAUGGUGACUCUGAAUAACUGAGCUGAUCGCACGGCCUAUGCGCCGGCGACGAAUAGUUCAAGUGUCUGCCUUAUCAACUUUCGAUGGUAGGUUAUGCGCCUACCAUGGUUGUAACGGGUAACGGGGAAUCAGGGUUCGAUUCCGGAGAGGGAGCCUGAGAAACGGCUACCACAUCCAAGGAAGGCAGCAGGCACGCAAAUUACCCACUCCCGGCACGGGAGGUAGUGACGAAAAAUAACAAUACAGGA
rnacentral:rRNA from 1 species